rnacentral:lncRNA from 1 species
AGCAGCUGGUCGACGGCGAGGUGCGAGUCCCCGCGCUUCUUCUGCGCCGACUGCGCGCGGCGGAUGGCCUUGAUGAGCGCCGUGGAGGCCGGCACGGAGUCCGGCGGCGGCGACUGCGACGGCAGCUUCUUGAGCGCGGCGGAGAGCACGCGCUCGAACGAGUCCCCCGCGGACGCGUUCCCGCCGGACGCCCCCGCCACCGCCUGCCGCAGGAUGCCCGACCUGUCCGCCGCCAGCGCCGCCGCCAGGUGCAGCGGCGUGAUCUGCGCGUGGCCGGCCUCCGACGCCGCCUCGUGCGCCGCCACCAGCGCCUCGUUGGUCUUGUGCGUGAAGUUGUCCGGGUUCAUGGCCGCCGCUGCUUGCGCUCACAACCUACAAUGGAUCAGACAGACUUUGGGUUGGAAGAUUGAUUGGGAAUUUGGGAUCACCAAGUGUUUGUGGGAUUGCUCUGCUUCUGGAGUUCUGGAUUCUGAU